AGGCCUUCGUGUUUCAUGUCUCUUGAGUGUUUGAUGUGCUGCAGUAACCGGGCGGUUUGUACCUGGCCUGGUGAAAGGCAGCGGCCAGCGUUGGUUUGAUGUGUUUAGUGUUGGAUGUGUGGUCGCUGGGGUUUGGUGAAGCACGACACCGAGAUGAAUGCAACUGUUCAACCUUUAACCCUGAAGAAAGUUGAGAUAGCGCUGCAAAUCAGUCGUGUGGUGGAUUUGUGUUUCAAGGCUGAGAUUUGGACGCCCAAACAAGAUAUAAAAUAAGAGAUCUGUAAGAUAUUCAAAAAGUGUAGAUCCCUGAGGGCAGUGUGGGCAGCUGUGAACCGGCUGAAGAUAUGGGCGGAUUUAUGUUCAUAGAAUGAUAUGAAAAGAAGAAGAUCAAUGAGUACAAGCAGAACAACACCUCCUGUCUCUCUGUGUGGAGAGACCAGCAGGCCGCUAUGACCCCACAUGUGUGGAGAGACCAGCAGGCCACUAUGACCCCACAGUGUGUGGAGAGACCAGCAGGCCGC